ACGCUCGACACCUACGGAGGCAGCAGUGGGGGAUAUUGCACAAUGGAGGAAACUCUGAUGCAGCGACGCCGCGUGAGGGAAGACGGUUUUCGGAUUGUAAACCUCUGUCUUCAGGGACGAAAUGAAUGACGGUACCUGAGGAGGAAGCUCCGGCUAACUACGUGACAGCAGCCGCGGUAAUCUGAGCGGGCUGGCAAGGC
rnacentral:rRNA from 1 species